rnacentral:lncRNA from 1 species
GAGUUUGUGAUAAACGAGGGACUGUGUUAAACCCAGAAAUACCAAGAAAAGCAAAAACAUGAUGCCUAUCUUUAAAGAGCUACCAUUCUAAUGGAAGGAAGUUUGGAGACUACGUCGGAAAGAGGAGCUAAAGAGAAAUUAAAGAAGACACAGAAGAAAAAAUAAUUAAAGGAUCUUUUUUGAGGAAGCUCUUUUCAAGUUGAUUUUUAUGAUAAAGUUUAAUUGAACUGAUUUUAGAUAUACUUAACCUUGUAUACAGGCAACUAAGUGGUGCAGAUGGAGCACUGGACUUAGAAUGAGAAAGACACACAAACCACAAUUUAGAGCUUGAUAUCUUCCAAAUGUUUCUCUAACAGUUAACAUUUCAUUAGUCCUUUACUUACAAAUUAAAACUACCCUUAUUCUGGGGCUUCAGACAUACAGUAGAUACCUGAUAUUUGAUUCAUCAUUAAUGUUGAAGCUACAUCUUUAAGCCACCCUAUACACUUUAAUAAUGGUCAGAUUUUCAAAUGAUCACAUCUU